GAUGAACGCUGGCGGCGUGCUUAACACAUGCAAGUCGAACGGAAAGGCCCAAGCUUGCCUGGGUACUCGAGUGGCGAACGGGUGGGUAACACGUGGGUGUUCUGCCCUGCACUUCGGGAUAAGCCUGGGAAACUGGGUCUAAUACCGGGUAUGACGUUUGUUUGGAUGCCGUUGUGGAGAGUUAUUUCGGUGUGGUAUGACCUCGCGGCGUAUCAGCUUGUCGGUGGGGUAUUGGCCUACCAAGGCGUAGACGGGUAGCCGGCCUGAGGGGGUGGAGGGCCGCUCUAGACUUGAGAGACGGGCCAGAGUCCGAAGGGAGGCAGAAGUGGGGAAUAUUGCACAAUGGGAGGAAGCCUGAUGCAGGGAGGCCGCGUGGGGGAUGACGGCCUUCAGGUUGUAAGCACCUUUCGCUAGGGACGAAGGGUUUUUGUGACGGUACCUGGAGAAGAAGCACCGGCUAACUACGUG
rnacentral:rRNA from 1 species